GGUGAACGCUGGCGGUAGGCCUAACACAUGCAAGUCGAACGGCAGCACAGUAAGAGCUUGCUCUUACGGGUGGCGAGUGGCGGACGGGUGAGGAAUACAUCGGAAUCUACUUUUUCGUGGGGGAUAACGUAGGGAAACUUACGCUAAUACCGCAUACGACCUACGGGUGAAAGCAGGGGAUCUUCGGACCUUGCGCGAUUGAAUGAGCCGAUGUCGGAUUAGCUAGUUGGCGGGGUAAAGGCCCACCAAGGCGACGAUCCGUAGCUGGUCUGAGAGGAUGAUCAGCCACACUGGAACUGAGACACGGUCCAGACUCCUACGGGAGGCAGCAGUGGGGAAUAUUGGACAAAGGGCGCAAGCCUGAUCCGGCCAUACCGCGUGGGUGAAGAAGGCCUUCGGGUUGUAAAGCCCUUUUGUUGGGAAAGAAAAGCAGCAGGUUAAUACCCCGCUGUUCUGACGGUACCCAAAGAAUAAGCACCGGCUAACUUCGUG
rnacentral:rRNA from 1 species